GAUGAACGCUGGCGGCGUGCCUAAUACAUGCGAGUCGAGCGAACAGACGAGGAGCUUGCUCCUCUGACGUUAGCGGCGGACGUGUGAGUAACACGUGUAUAACCUCCCUAUAAGACUGGGAUAACUUCGGGAAACCGGAGCUAAUACCGGAUAAUAUAUUGAACCGCAUGGUUCAAUGGUGAGAGACGGUGUUGCUGUCACUUAUAGAGGGAUCCGCGCCGCAUUAGCUAGUUGGUAAGGUAACGGGUUACCAAGGCGACGAUGCGUAGCCGACCGGAGGGGGGGAUAGGCCACCUGAGAAGGGAGCCGCGGUCCAGACUCCUACGGGAGGCAGCAGAAGGGAAUGUUCCGCAAUGGGCGAAAACCUGACGCAGCAACGCCGCGUGAGUGAUGAAGGUCUUGGGAUCGUAAAACUCUGUUAUUAGGGAAGAACCAAUGUGUAAGUAACUAUGCACGUAUUGACGGUACCUAAUCAGAAAGCAACGGCUAACUACGUG
rnacentral:rRNA from 1 species